AGAGGCAGUGCAUAGGUCCAUGCCCGGGAACUGAACCAGUGAACCCCAGGCCACCAAGCAGAGCACAGGAAUUUAACUGCUCUGCCAUGGGACCGGCCCCAAGGGAAGUGAGCAUUCUUUAGGUCAUUUUAUAAUAAUCAGGAAUACAAAGGGAAGUCAUUUGGAGAGCUAAUUGCCUCAAUAUUCUAGAAAGAUUUCAGUGACUGAUCUGAGGAACUUUUGGAUGUUUCUCAUAUGUAAUUAAUUGUUUCUAGCACACAUAAACUUCUAAAAUAAGGCUACUUUCAAGCACAAUAAGUCCCAAACAAGAAGAACGCAUGUGCAUUACUGUGGCGCAUUCGUGAUUUUUAUUUCCCCUUGCUUAUAUUCUAUUGCAUUGCCCCUAAUUCAUUAAGAGAAUCAGUGGGCACCUGGAAGAGUACAUGAUUGACAGUCAUCUGAUUGUUCCAGUAAAGGCCAAAGGACUCGGUUAUAUGCUUGUCUUACACAAAAUGACAUCAUAAUUUCAUUGAGAAUGUGAUUAUAAUGCAUUCCUCUGAAAAUGCCCAAGUUGUCAAGCAUAAAUAAUUUUUUCCUCUCCCUAACUUAAAGGAAAUUUCCACAUUGUGACAUGUUCCUAUAGGACUUAAAAUUCAGUGAGCUAUGCCUGGCAUCUUCUCUUUCAGAUGCCUCCUCUCCAGCUGCACCUCCCUGUGCUGCUGGUGACUUGCUUUCUCAAGGACCAUUCAGGUGAAAGGUUUCCUUCCUAAAGCAUAAGCCACCAGGAGCAGCUGGGAAGGUAGCUUCUUGGCUCACACCCAUUCAUUCAUUCAUAAAUAAUUGCUGAGCGCCUGCUCCACAGUGGCCCUGUGCUAGGCUCUGCAACCAUUGCACCCAGGAAAAAAGAAAAGAAAAGAAAAGAAAACAAGGAACUUACCCCAUUGAGUGUACCUGCUAGACGUUAAUCCAAUGACCACACUGAUAACUGGAUAAUUGCACGGAGAUAACGUGCUCUUAUGGAAAGAUACAGAGUUCUAUGAGGGGAAUAAACCAAGAAGCCUGACGUAGGCUGGGACCUGAGGGAAGGCUUCCCCAAGGAAAUGUGGUUUGGGCUGAAAACCGAAAAGUGAGGCGACAUCAACCAGGGAAGGAAGAGAAAGGGCAUCCCAAACAGCCGGAGCCCAGUGGAGCUGGAGAGCAGAGUCUGGCAGGUGUGCCCGGAGCUGCUGCGGAGAUGGGGGCCACUAUGCUGGACCCCACAUCCCAAUUCACUCAGGGCCUGCGUUCCGAGAGCAGUGUCAAGUAGCCUCAGCCCUUAAGCAGGGGCUGACAUGAUCAGAUCUGGGUUGUCACAGAAUCCUCUGGCUGCGGGCCUCGGAGGUGGAGCCAGAGCAGAUGGGAGUUAGAAUGGGGAUCAGGUCCCAGGAGUUCAGGCUUGUGCCUCUUGGGCCUGGGAGGCCUUGACCACUUUCAUUUAUCAAGGCUCCCAGUAUAUUGUGAUAUUAAGAACUAAUAAAAGAAGAUCAUAGAAAUUGAUUUAUUUUAAUGUUUACAUUUUAAAAAACAUUUGGCCUGAAAACUACAAUACAAGUGUGCUUUUCAAAGAAAAACUCUGAUUUAUUUAUUUUAAUUAAUUCAUAGUGCCCUGCAGGCUGUGUGGUCCUUGUUGAUAGAUCAUAAGUUGAAACACAAACAAUACGAUGAACAUCUUUUCAUCUAGUCAUUGUAUCUCUAGGACCAAAUGUGUAACCUUACUUGGCAACAACACCAAAGUCUAAGUCUGAGUCUCUUUGUAAAUGGCUCACCCACUUAUCUGUCAUGAUGGAGCACAGUCCAAGUGAGAGAUGAGAGAUGAGAGAGUUGGAUGGGGGCAAGAAGGACCACGGGGAGGGAGAUAAGUGAACUGACUCCAGUGAGUCCACCACUUAAGAAUGUGUGGAUCGUUCACUGCUCAAGAGCUCCCAGUCAAGGACGUGAGUGGGGGCUGCAGUUCAGCCAGAGCCUUACUUUCCACUCAUUGAGUCCUGGCACAGGACUGAGUCCGCUGGAGGAUGAGAUGUCUUCUACUUUGCACAAAGCACCAUGCAUGCUUGCAGUGGCCCUCCAUGAGACAGACAGCGAGGAGAUAACAUAGAAGGGCUUGGAAAUAGAUUAGAUAUGGGAGUGAGGAAAUGGAAGGAUAAAGGCCUUACCUCCACUUCUUUUUCCACCCCACCCCUUCCUGGCCCAAACCAAGGUAUGAAGCAGCUGGAAUCUCCAAUUUUUAUCCCUGCCAUCCUGUCUGCCCCACCCUAUCCAUCUAUCCCAUCCAGUAUUCUCUACCUCGCUCUCCCCCACGCCUCCCUCCCCACCACUGCUCUGAUAAGCCAACUCUGCUCAUAGAAGAAUCUUCUAUCUAAAGACAGUUUAGAAGUUUUAAGAAGCUGAAGGCAACUCCUCAAAUCCAUACAGUGCAAAUAUUUUGUGGCCUGAGAGCCUUUCUCUUAUCUAGGAAUUUGUGACAUUGAGAUGAUUCAUGGAAAACUUUUUCAACCAAAUGAACCAAGUGAAUCAAGAUACCCAACCCAUGAGUUACAACCAGCCCCUCUUCCCAAGACCUCCUGUUCACACAGCACCAGAGUUCCAUGCUUGUUGUCACUGAUCUAAAGGACGCCUCUGUCCAGUGUGACUCCUUGUCCCCUGGAGUUACACAGUGAGGCUGCCCUGCUCCUCGGCCAUUUGUCAGAGGCCAGAGCUAUCAUUUGCAGGCCCUGAAAGGGACAUGAGAAGCAAGCAGAAGCCUAGGUUGGGAAAUGCCCGGGCCUGGGCAGUAUCCUUGUUUUGCAUCAUGACUUGGUUUUCUGCCACCUUUCCACAGGUGCAAAGCUUGGGGCAAGCCACCUCGCAGGUCUAGAGGAGGAAACAGAGAGACAAGCCCUGGGAGUGGAUGCUCCCAGGAACCAGUGUUUAGAGCACCUAGAAUGCCCUCCUGUCUUCUCACUUCCCUAUUUAGGGAUAGGGCGUAAGUGUUGGAAAGAGGAAACCUCAGGCAGAAAUUAGUCACAUUUAAUCAAUAAACUGAGGCCCUUCUAGGCUGCUCUGACUUUUAUAACUAUUAUUGCUUAACAUUUACAGUAUUUAUCCUGUGCCCAGCACUUUGCAUACAUAUGGCAGAGAUGCAAGUUGCCUAACCCAACAUCUGUUCUCCUCACCUUUAGUAUAGAAGCCCCAAUUUCUAACUGAGCACAAGACCAUCUGUAAAAAGAGUCUACAUUUCCUGGAUCCCUUUGGAGGGAGGUGUGCCCAUGUGUUUGAGAGAAGCUGCAGUGCUGGCUCUGUCACUCUCCACUUCCGGACUAGGUUUAUGAGAGAGAAAAAUAAACUUCUGUUUACUUCUGUUUAAGCUACUGAUUUUGGUUUUACUCUGCUUCAUUUUGAAAUUCUUUUUUUUUUCCUUUUUGUGGGGGGGAGGGAUGGGAACAAAAUAUAAACCUGAUAUACUGCAUUAUGGUUUCUCAUACAAUUCUCACAACAACCUUUGAGAGUUCAGUAAACGUCUCAAGCCUUGAUUUCCUCCUGUAUACAACCCAGAAAAUAAUAGCUCCUACUUCACGGGGCUUCUGAGGAUGAAAUGAAGCAAGCCCUGCAAAGCUCUUAGCACAGUCCUGGGCACAAGGGAACUGUUUGAUGCUAUUCUUUAUUGUAUUAAGGACCUUUCAUCUCUCUAGCUAGAUUAUCCAUUCCUUAAGGACAAAGUCCCUAUCUUCAAUUUCUCUCAUAUCUUCCACAAUGCUCAGAACAAUCCUGGACCCACAGCGGGCUCUUUAGCAUUUGUCGAGAGAACUUUGUGACAACACAAACGUACAAAUAAAAUUAUUUACAUGCAUUUUCAAAUUAAUUGUUUCUUUCAAUGCAGGGAACUGAUGGAGCAUAAGCAACAAUAACUUUUUAUGCGACUACUCAUUUAAGAUAAAGACAGGAUUCUUAACUUCUUUUUUUAUUUGCUUCAAAGGUGUAGGAAGUUUUUCUUAAAAGGUCAGGUCUACCUGUUAUGCUAAUAGAAGUUCUAAGCUGUGUUCAGAGGGUUGCUCCCCUCAGAAACUGUCUGGUUUCCCCUCUUCCACUCUAGGUAAGACUUCAUCAUUCUUGGCUAAAGGAGCAUCAUGCGACAUGAGAUUUGCAACUGGAGAGAGCAUUGCCGAGUUGCUGUGACCAUCUUUAAUGCUCGAGCACAGCACAGCCUGCUUUGACACGGAAGAAGAGGAGAAGAGGAGGAGGAAAUGAGGACGAGAGAGAAGGAUACGGGCAGUGAUUUCAGAAGAUGACCUGACAGAACCAUAUUAGAGCAAGACAAGUGCCAGCCACUCUGCUCAUCUGAGGGCACUUCACGGUGGUUGGCGCAGGAAUGAGAAAGACGACAAGGCAGUGCAUCAACAUUCUACUCUUGGAGCUAGAGAACAUUCCACAGCAUGACCUUCUCAGGAUCCCUACUUAACAAACGGUCAAUUUUGCCUUGGGACAUUAGGAAAGAAAAGUUCUCCACCCCAUGUAACAGGAGCCAAAGACCUAGAAACAGCUACAAUGGAUGCUUCAAUGCUUUCCAGCUAUGAGAGAAGAUGUCUGGGAAAACAUGAAGGAAAUAAGAUUUCUGUAGAGAGGAGCCCAUAUAUAACUUUUAAGUAGCAUGAAAAAAGACUUUUUGGCCACCCUAUAGACUUAUGAUUUUUUUAAAAGAUGCUAUCAGUAAAAUAUGCCAUUGGAAAAUCUUUCUUAAUAUACUUCCAAAGAGCUCAAGAUCAUUAAAAUUAUUAGAUACAGAUACUCAAUAUUUCCUUUGUACCAAAAAUAAAAUAAAAUUAUUAACGUGAUUGAUCCACAA